AUACUGCAGUCGAACGAUAUUUUCCAGCUUGCUGGAAGAGAAAGUGGCGCACGGGUGCGUAACGCGUAUGCAACCUACCUUUAUCAGGGGGAUAGCCCGGAGAAAUCCGGAUUAAUACCGCAUAAAAUCACAGAAUAGCAUUAUUUAAUGAUCAAACAUUUAUGGGAUAAAGAUGGGCAUGCGUGUCAUUAGCUAGUUGGCGGGGUAACGGCCCACCAAGGCGACGAUGACUAGGGGAUCUGAGAGGAUGACCCCCCACACUGGUACUGAGACACGGACCAGACUCCUACGGGAGGCAGCAGUAAGGAAUAUUGGUCAAUGGAGGCAACUCUGAACCAGCCAUGCCGCGUGCAGGAAGACUGCCCUAUGGGUUGUAAACUGCUUUUAUCCGGGAAUAAACCUCUGCUCGUGAGCAGAGCUGAAUGUACCGGAAGAAUAAGGAUCGGCUAACUCCGUGCCAGCAGCCGCGGUAAUACGGAGGAUCCAAGCGUUAUCCGGAUUUAUUGGGUUUAAAGGGUGCGUAGGCGGCCUGUUAAGUCAGGGGUGAAAGACGGUAGCUCAACUAUCGCAGUGCCCUUGAUACUGAUGGGCUUGAAUGGACUAGAGGUAGGCGGAAUGAGACAAGUAGCGGUGAAAUGCAUAGAUAUGUCUCAGAACACCGAUUGCGAAGGCAGCUUACUAUGGUCUUAUUGACGCUGAGGCACGAAAGCGUGGGGAUCAAACAGGAUUAGAUACCCUGGUAGUCCACGCCCUAAACGAUGAACACUCGCUGUUGGCGAUACACAGUCAGCGGCUAAGCGAAAGCGUUAAGUGUUCCACCUGGGGAGUACGCCCGCAAGGGUGAAACUCAAAGGAAUUGACGGGGGCCCGCACAAGCGGAGGARCAUGUGGUUUAAUUCGAUGAUACGCGAGGAACCUUACCCGGGCUUGAAAGUUAGUGAAUGAUCUAGAGAUAGAUCAGUGAGCAAUCACACGAAACUAGGUGCUGCAUGGCUGUCGUCAGCUCGUGCCGUGAGGUGUUGGGUUAAGUCCCGCAACGAGCGCAACCCCUAUGUUUAGUUGCCAGCAUGUAAAGGUGGGGACUCUAAACAGACUGCCUGUGCAAACAGAGAGGAAGGAGGGGACGACGUCAAGUCAUCAUGGCCCUUACGUCCGGGGCUACACACGUGCUACAAUGGACGGUACAGAGGGCAGCUACAUAGCAAUAUGAUGCGAAUCUCACAAAGCCGUUCACAGUUCGGAUUGGGGUCUGCAACUCGACCCCAUGAAGUUGGAUUCGCUAGUAAUCGCGUAUCAGCAAUGACGCGGUGAAUACGUUCCCGGGCCUUGUACACACCGCCCGUCAAGCCAUGGAAGUUGGGGGUACCUAAAGUAUGUAACCGCAAGGAGCGUCCUAUGUA
rnacentral:rRNA from 1 species